rnacentral:sRNA from 2 species
UUUCAUCAUUCGCUUAAUCUCCUCAUUCGGGGAGAGCGGGGGAACCAAUACAGUCCAUAUUGGCAAGCUAUACAUAUCCGUUUUCGGGUGUCACUUGUCAGGGCAAGCUGUACUUUUCCAGGGGUGAAUUCGCCGGGACCACGAGCAGGGUCCGCAGGCCGAUAGGGCAGCUCUCUUGUCCGAACCCGUCAGCUAACCUCGUCAGCGUAAAUAAGAGAGAUC